rnacentral:rRNA from 1 species
CCUGUCUCAGUUCGGAUUGGAGUCUGCAACCCGACUCCAUGAAGCUGGAUUCGCUAGUAAUCGCGCAUCAGCCACGGCGCGGUGAGUACGUUCCCGGGCCUUGUACACACCGCCCGUCAAGCCAUGGGAGCCGGGGGUGCCUGAAGGCCGUGACCGCGAGGAGCGGCCUAGGGUAAAACUGGUGACUGGGGCUAAGUCGUAACAAGGUAGC